AUGGUACUCCCUCUGUUUCACAAUUCUUGUCGAAAUAUUACAUGUAUCUAGACACUUUUUAGGAAUAGAUAUAUCCAUUUUUUUCACAAAUUUGAGACAAGAAUUAUGGAACGGAGGGAGUAAUUA
rnacentral:pre_miRNA from 1 species